rnacentral:rRNA from 1 species
UACAGAGACUGCAAGCGUUAUUCGGAUUCACUGGGCGUAAAGGGUGCGCAGGCGGUUGGGUGUGUCAGAUGUGAAAUCCCGAGGCUCAACCUCGGAACUGCGUCUGAAACUACUCGACUAGAGUACUGGAGAGGGAAACGGAAUUCACGGUGUAGCAGUGAAAUGCGUAGAUAUCGUGAGGAACACCAGAGGCGAAGGCGGUUCCUGGACAGUUACUGACGCUCAGGCACGAAAGCAAUGGGGAGCAAAAGGG